rnacentral:ncRNA from 1 species
AGGGAUAACAGGCUGAUCUUCCCCAAGAGUUCACAUCGACGGGAAGGUUUGGCACCUCGAUGUCGGCUCUUCGCCACCUGGGGCGGUAGUACGUUCCAAGGGAUGGGCGAACAUUUGAUUGUAUCAUAGUCCGAACCUGUCAUAGUAUGGCCUUUGAUUGUUGAUGAUCUUAUCCAAUGUCUUGGUGUU